AAUAAUUUUCUCCACAGUAACACUGAAAUGUACAUUUCAUUCUGCUGCUUUUCAGUACGUUAAAUGGAGGAUUACUUUGAGCUGAAUAUCGAUUGGGAACAUUUUAUAGGCAGAUGCCUGCUAAUAACAAAAGAAGUCCAAAUUCAAUAUACAUUUCAUUUCCAAAAAUGCCUUUUUGAGUAGCAUGAUCUAGUGGUGAAAGCAAAGAUCUGGGCCUGGGGAGCUCUGAGUUCUUUCCUUGAUUCUGCCGCUAAUUUGUGUGAUCUUGAGCAAAGUACUUAACUUCUCUGUAGGCAAAUGGUUCUUUGAAAUAGAUUUUUGCUAUUCUGGAACUGUUAUGUCCAGAACUCAAAAGACCUUUAACAGCUCAUUUCUUCAGCUUGUCUCUAUAAUUAAAAUAAGUCUACACUAAUGCUUCUAAAAGUGUGUAGUCUGGGGUAUUUCUGAAGAACAUGGUGCAGUUUAAAGUUCAGAGUUCUGUACUGUUUUAAGGGGGUACAUUUUGUUUUAGGUAUUUUUGAAAUACAAAUCAGUGCUCUAAUAGCCUGAUCAAACUUCAUUUGAAGUCCUAUCUGAAUCUUAAUGAAAACAGUGCAAAAUUAACCCUGAUGUGUAUGAAAACUCUCUUAUUUUAACACAAUAGGUAAGAAAUAGUCAGAGUUGUUCACCUGAGAGUUGUCUGGUUAUGCCAUAUGCAUUUGAAGUUACUUUGUAUAGUGUGAAAAGGAGUAUAAUUUAUCGCAGGUUUAUCACUUGUGAGUUAUGAGUCUAUACAGGUAAAAUUACACUAUAUCCCUAUGUUUGUAGCUCUGUCUGACAUGUUCUAUUCCAUAGACUUGUUUGGUGGCUGGGUGAGCAAGUUGAACAUAUUAUUCAUGUGGACAAAAUAAAAGAUGAAAUGUCUCGUAAGUCUCAGGAACAGAAUGAAGUAACUGCACUAGUCAGAUAUUUUUGUAAACAGAUUGGAUUAAACACAAGGAUGAAUUAUUGUUCAUCCUUAAAAUUUUACAAAAAAAGGUCCCAACCCUGUAAACACUUACUCACACGCUUAAGUUUACUUAUGUGAGUAGUCUGAUUUAAUUUAGUGGUGCUACUUGUGAGAGUAAAGUUAAGUACAUGUUUGCAGGAUCUGGGCCAAACGUCACAAAGAUUCUUUGACAGCCUAUUUUUGUUAAGCAUUCACAAAAAUUGAGUUCAUAAUUGGCAUGGAGCAUAAUUAGGAAGUGAAAUGAUCUUCUAGAAAUCUAAACUUCGUAGAGUUUAAAGAAUUCCUGCUUUGUCAGUAGUUGAUUGGGAUAUGGAAGAAUGCCAUAUACUUUUUGUAUUUCUUUUCCUUGAUGAUGCAAUUUGAUUUCUGGAUGAUGACUUCCAUGACAUUUCAAGUAGAGCAUUAGGACAGUGUACAAUACUGCUAGUACAUGACUUACCUAAACAUGUACUCUGGUUCUUCUUCGAGUGCUUGCUCGUAUCAGUUCCAGUUAGGUGUGCGCGCGCUGCAUGCACGGCUGUCGGAAGGUUUUCUGUAGCAGCCACCCGUCGGGCCGGCUGUGGAGCCACCUGGAAUGAUGCCGAUAUGGCGCUUUAUAUACGACCCUGCCGGCCCGACCCCCCCUUCAGUUCCUUCUUACUGCCAGUGAUGGUUGUUGGAACAGUGGUUUCUUGUUCUCCAGUUGUCCACUACUCCCUAGCUAUCUUACUUAUCUCUGUAUAUAGUUAUCCAUUGUUAGUUAAUUGUUAGUCAUAAUCUCUAGUGUUAAGUAUAGUUUAUAGCAGUUGAGGGUUUUCCCCUUCAAUGAGUGUCCUAUGGGGUGUGCCGUCCCAGGGCUUCAAACCUUGUAGCUCUUGCGGCAAGCCUAUGCCCACGGCAAUCCGCACAACUCCUGUCUUCGGUGCCUGGGAGAGGCCCACCAGGCAGACAAGUGUAAAAUUUGCAAGGCGUUUAAAUCCCGAACCAGAAAGGAGAGGGACACUUGCCUGAAAUAACUCCACAUGGAGUCUGCUCUCCGUCCGCCACAAGACUUGGGCCCGAGCGCCUCGAUGAAGAGUGCUCCUCCAGCGGUGCCGUCUACAGCACUGCAAAAGGACUCGGCACGCCCUCCUCGGGGCUGGUGAUCUCCCGGGGCCCAGAAGCGCUCCCCCCGGCACUGCUCCCCCUCCCUGGCCGCCUGUAAAAAGCAGGCCAUGGGAGGACUUCCUCAGAGGCUUGAAGCAGAUGCCGCAGCCCCAGCAGGACACCCAUAAGACUGACAGACCCUCCAGUAGGCCUCAGCCCGCAUGGGCGCUCGGUCCCCCAGGCAGCCCCACACCACCAGACCCCCUGCAGCUGCAGGUGGAGGAGGUCACGCUGACCUCCACUUCGGACACUUUUGAGGCCUCUAGAGGGCUUAUUGAGAUGACUGCGCCUGUGUCCCCGAUCUCAAGGCCUCCACCAGCUCAAGCCCCGGUACCGUCAAGGGGCAAACCGGCAAUGUUUGGGCCAUCUGCCCCCAGACCAGCAUCACCGCGCCGGCCUGAGUCCCGGCGCCGUUCUGAGUCCCAGCACCGCACGUAUGCUACGCGCCAGUCUGACUCGCGGCACUGGUCUUGCAGCCCCGAUCCUCGGAGCUGUUCCCCGCUCUAGGUGGUCAUCAGCUGAUAGGUUGUGGUCCCGCUCGAGGUCUAGGUCAUGGUCUGAGACCUCGCGGCACUGCUCAGACCAUCCUCGUUCCGUGUACCGCUCUCCAUUGCAGCACCGCACCUCUCCAAGUUGCCGAUCGCGGCGCAGAUCUCCGGCACGGCAACGGUCGUGGUCGCUCUCUCAACGCCGCUUCCCAUUGAGGCAAGGUCCAACUUCUUGGCACCUGUCGACCUCACGGUACCGCUCUCCACAACGGCACUGGUUGCCGCCUAGAUCUCGCUAUUCGUUGCGGUACCCAUCCCACCAGUUGCGGGACACGGAGGUUUCCUUGAUGCACUCGAGCACCGCCCCUCCUUGACUGUCCCGCUCCCAAUCUCCCUCCCUUAGGUGGAAAUGGCUAUACACAAAAAGAGCCAAAGUCAGGCUUUGUGGAUCUCAGCAUUGUUCCAGUGAUUUUUUAGGCCUCUAAAAGUUACACACUGUGAAGCUCAGCAUCACAACACUUAAGUCUCCUUUGUGGAUCCAGGCCUAAAUGACUUGCCCAAGGUGUCUCAGGAAGUCUGUGGCAGGGAUUUGAACACUGGUGUCCCAAGCCAAGCCCUAGGAUCACCUUGCUCUCCAGUACAUAUACUUCUACACAGAAUGAGAGGAGAAAAAAAAUAAAUCCAAUGAAAUAAUGAUUUCAUCAUCUUGGUUUUGUUGUAGAAUGUAAAAUCUGUGUAAAAUUCUGCGACUGCAGAGACCUCAGCAAUUUGAAAUUGAUGAGUGGGGAAAAUUACUAGUUUUCGGUCAGACUGCUUGUGGACUUGCAUUACAUGUCUCAGCAACCAAGUGCUAUUGUCCAGAAACAUUUUUCUAUGCAUGUGAAUAAUAUUAAUCGAUGCUGUCUGUUAAGCCUUGCUGAAAUUCAUGAAAGCAUCUCAGUCAUUUAAUUAAUAUGCUACAUAUAAAAACAAAACAAUGAAAAGUAAAGAUUGCAAAUGGCAAAUUUUAUUUUCACAUUAAUAACUAAACAAAAGCUUAAGUUAAAUUCCCUUUCCUCCAAAGGAUUUGUAAUGGAGGCUGAAAUACUCUUUAACUACGUCCUUACUACCAGACUCCACUAUAACAAAUUAUACAGAACUUACCAUGUUAUGUCAGCAUGGUACACAGCCAGCAAAAAGCAAUAAUCUCACAACUGCCUUUAUAAAAAAAAAUCAUUUCUUUUUAAACAAAAUUACUUUAUUAGUUCAGUAAUAAUUUCAGGGCUUUUCAAGAUAAGGAGCAGCAUUUGGGAGGGGUUUCAUUUCCUGUCUGCUACUUUAUCAGUCAGAACUACAUCUCGAAUGUCUGAAGAUUGUGUAUUUAUAACUGAACUCUAAUAAAGUCCAUGCUGGGGAAUCUGCA